UCCGGGGGGGGCAAACGUUGUUCGGAAUUACUGGGCGUAAAGGGCGCGUAGGCGGGUGGACAAGUCUCUCGUGAAAGCCCAUGGCUCAACCGUGGAAUUGCGGGAGAUACUGUCUGUCUUGAGUCCGGGAGAGGAGGGUGGAAUUCCCAGUGUAGCGGUGAAAUGCGUAGAUAUUGGGAGGAACACCGGUGGCGAAGGCGGCUCUCUGGACCGGUACUGACGCUGAGGCGCGAAAGCUAGGGGAGAAAACGGG
rnacentral:rRNA from 1 species